AUUGAACGCUGGCGGCAUGCUGUACACAUGCAAGUCGAACGGUAACAGGGUGCUUGCACCGCUGACGAGUGGCGAACGGGUGAGUAAUGCGUCGGAACGUGCCGAGUAGUGGGGGAUAACGCAUCGAAAGGUGUGCUAAUACCGCAUACGUACUGAGGUAGAAAGUGGGGGACCUUCGGGCCUCACGCUAUUCGAGCGGCCGACGUCUGAUUAGCUAGUUGGUGAGGCAAAGGCCCACCAAGGCGACGAUCAGUAGCGGGUCUGAGAGGAUGAUCCGCCACACUGGGACUGAGAACCGGCCCAGACUCCUACGGGAGGCAGCAGUGGGGAAUUUUGGACAAUGGGCGCAAGCCUGAUCCAGCCAUGCCGCGUGUCUGAAGAAGGCCUUCGGGUUGUAAAGGACUUUUGUCCGGGAGCAAAUACCCAGUGCUAAUAACGCUGGGGGCUGAGAGUACCGGAAGAAUAAGCACCGGCUAACUACGUGCCAGCCGCCGCAGUAA
rnacentral:rRNA from 1 species